rnacentral:rRNA from 1 species
AUUGAACGCUGGCGGAAUGCCUUACACAUGCAAGUCGAACGGCAGCGCGGACUUCGGUCUGGCGGCGAGUGGCGAACGGGUGAGUAAUGUAUCGGAACGUACCAUUCAGUGGGGGAUAACGCAGCGAAAGUUGCGCUAAUACCGCAUAUUCUGUGCGCAGGAAAGCAGGGGAUCGCAAGACCUUGCGCUGAUUGAGCGGCCGAUAUCAGAUUAGCUAGUUGGUGAGGUAAAGGCUCACCAAGGCGACGAUCUGUAGCAGGUCUGAGAGGAUGAUCCGCCACACUGGAACUGAGACACGGUCCAGACUCCUACGGGAGGCAGCAGUGGGGAAUUUUGGACAACGGGCGCAAGCCUGAUCCAGCCAUGCCGCGUGAGUGAAGAAGGCCUUCGGGUUGUAAAGCUCUUUCGGCCGGGAAGAAAUCGUAUGGGUUAAUACCCUGUGCGGAUGACGGUACCGGCAUAAGAAGCACCGGCUAACUACGUGCCAGCCGCCGCCGUAACAC